CCUACGGGUGGCAGCAGUAGGGAAUAUUGCUCAAUGGGGGAAACCCUGAAGCAGCAACGCAGCGUGGAGGAUGAAGGUUUUCGGAUUGUAAACUCCUUUUGUUAGAGAAGAAAAUGACGGUAUCUAACGAAUAAGCACCGGCUAACACCGGGCCAGCAGCCGCGGUAAUACGGGGGGUGCAAGCGUUACACGGAUUCACUGGGCUGAAAGGGCGCGUAGGCGGGUUAGCAAGUCCGAUGUGAAAUCCUAUGGCUUAACCGUAGAACUGCAGUUGAAACUGGUAGUCUAGAGUAUGGGAGAGGUAGGUGGAAUUCUUGGUGUAGCGGUGAAAUCCGUAGAGAUCACGAAGAAUACUCAUUGCGAAGGCGACCUGCUAGAACAUAACUGACGCUGAUGCGCGAAAGUGUGGGGAGCAAACAGGAUUAGAUACCCUAGUAGUC
rnacentral:rRNA from 1 species